rnacentral:tRNA from 1 species
GUUUAUGUAGUGUAUACAGCACGCUAGGUUUUCAUCCUAUAAGAAGGUUGGGUUUUGCCUCCUAAAUU